AGCUCAGGAAGGUCGCUGACUGCACUUGACAAGGUCGCAAUCAUAAUUAUGGACUCUCUAUCCUUCUCUCUGCAUUUAGCUGCCUUCAUCACAUGUGUUUCUUCUUUUCUGUCCGCCGUUCACAUCUUUGUUGUUGCUAUGUUUCAAGGCCCUGCGAGGACGAAAUCGAAGUUAUCCAUCACUGGGUGAAACUCCUGCUCUUUCCGUAUCCGCAUUGCUUUCAACUUGAAAGGUUCGAGUACAGGUAUAUCCAUGUAAAUUUGGUGAGGAAAGAUCAAUUCAGUACAGGUGAAUCCUUCUUUUGCCUAUUCUCUCUCUCUCUCUCUCUCUCUCUCUCUCUCUCUCUCUCUCUCUCUUCCGUUGCUAUCCUGAGUAGGUAUUACAAUGUGAUCGUAUAUAGAAAGCUUGAGGUGUUGUAUCUUUCUAAUUCCCCAAAAAAAAGGAAGUAGCCGUGGUUCUUUGGGGAAUUAUUGAUUGCUUUAGGGGAAUCAAUGUCUUGCGAUUUGCGAAACUAAGUUUUUAGUAGGGUUUGCUUAACAUUUGCUUUUCUUCAGUCCUACCAAAACCCCUCUGGCGUGUGAUGAAGCUACAUCAGUACGAUCUCUUACCUCAGCAUGAUGAUUUAGGAGAUUGUUAUGGUGAAUUGGUGAUGAGUUUUCAACGAAUAACCAUGUUGCUGUGCCUUGAACUGGCUGUCAUCACCAUCCCUUUGCUGGUCACCUCUUUUGGGUGUAGAUUGAAUUGAUCUGAAGCCCAUCCAAGUGUUGUUCUAAUUACCCGUGAUGUUGCUGUUCGUAUGUUGAUGAUUUCUUCAUCAUUGAGCAUGUUUAUUACCAAUUGCUUUGUCUGAGGUAAUACUGAAAUUCACGGAGUAUCUCAGUGAAAAUUUGAUUCAGAGGAGGGACCGAGAAUAAGAUAAGAAAACGAAAAUAAUAAAAGAAAAAAUUCUGGAAAAUAAAAAUGGAAAUUUGGUUGGAAAAAUAGGCAUUUAUUAGGUUGUUAGAUUUUAGUAUUAGAAUUAGCUGGUUUUGGAAAUUAUGGAUGCAUGACACGUUGCGCAUAAAAGCAACUUAAGCAGAUUAUUACUAGCAAAUUAGAAGUAAUCUGCAACCGCUUGAAAUGGCUUUGGCAGAUUUCAAGUACUCUUGCUCUUUCGACUUUUAUGCUCCAUGCCAGUAGAGGAAGGGCACAUGUGAUGAUUGUUAGCUAGUUGUUGGCUAAUUGUAAGCUAAUUGCAGGAGAGCACUGUUUUCUUUUUUGAUUUACCAGGAUGUGGUCAAUCUUCCAUUGCUUUGUUAACAAAUAUAGCCAAGGCCACUUAUAUCAAUUGUCUCUACUAUAUUGACCAAAAAAGUAAAGAAAAGAAAAGUUUAUAAUCUAUCAAACAAACUUGCGAGAGCAAUUUCAACCUCAAACUUCCAUAGAAAAAUUCUGGAAGGACGUUGAUUGUUAUGAUGAAUUUCAAUCGUUAGGUAGUGUUCAAGAUCAUGUGAUGUUAUGUGGAUUGUAAUUGGUUUCAAUUGAUUCUGGUUUUAUCGUUAAUUUCUAUGUUAGUUAAUUUCUUCAUUAGAUUGCUUCCCUAUUUGUGUUUAUUUUUCUGGAUAUAAGUGCCCGUAUAAUGUAAAACAUUAUUCAAUAAAGCAACACACAAUUCAAUAUUUCCUCACAUACUGACUUGGUAUUAUAGCUAGAUUGUUCCUAUUUUGAUCUCAAUCCAUGAAGCCUACAGCGCCCCUGAUAUUGUUGAUCUUAAUGCCAAACUUGAGCUUGUUGAUGGCAUGCUAUUGUAAGACGUUACACUUCAUUGACAAUUGGUCAAUAAUGUAGUAUAUCUUUUCUGGUAACUUGCUCUAACAUAGCCUAGAUUGACCAUGCUAUGAGUCAGUUUAUGAUUGAUUUUCAUUUUCCCAAUUAUGCUAUCGUGUUACCUAUUUUAUACUAGAUCCAGGGCAUUGUAUUUUAUUUCCUUCACCAUCCCUAUUUAUGUCUCUUGGAUGCAGAUCCAUUGUACGCAUUGAUUUACUUAUUUGCUGUCUCCAACACAAGAUCAAAACACGAGUCUCUCUUCUUGAUUUUACAGCUUACCCAAUCACUCCUCAAGAUCCCAACACCAAUCUCUCUUCUUCUCCCCAUCUUUCUCCCCCCUUAUCGAGCCCCCACAACCACACGUGGCUUGUGUCAUUGACAUGCCUCUGGUGCCACCAUCAAUCUUGACCUUCCUCGCUCCGCCAUUCAAUGCCGGUGCCUAUGAAGGGUCAUGUAAUGCUCCAUUCACUCUCUCUCCCCUAUCGCUUCAAUGUCAGCCGUCAUCCCUGCUUUCGUGUAGCUAUCUCUCUCCCUCUCUUGGAUAAGGACAGAUGAGCUCACCUGAACGUCAAGUUUAUGCCUUUGGAGGGUCCCAAGACCCAGCGUUGAGCUCCCCUCAUCAUUUACAAUUACUUUGUCGACAAUGACGAAAUCAGAAGGUCAUCUCAAGAUUUGGGGAUGCCUCAUCCAUCUACCUAUCCAUUGAGAUUGAGGUGAGAUCUCAAAGGCCAUGGCCAGAUCAGGUCAUCAAUGGUGGUGCCGAGACCUUAUAGAGAUUUGGUGGUGAGAGAAGAGACAGAGUGAGGAGAGAGUGUUUUCGGUUUGCAAAUAGAGAAAACAAAUAUGGUCGUGGAUGACACAACGGAGAUAACAGCAAGAUGUGGAGGAGUGACGGUGCUGACAAAUGGUCAUAACGGUCGGAGACGGU
rnacentral:lncRNA from 1 species